AAUUGAAGCAGAGGACAGUGGCGCAAGGGUGAGUAACGCGUAGGUUAUCUGCCUUCGAGUUUGGAAUAACAAUUAGAAAUGAUUGCUAAUGCCGGAUUAUAUUUAAGAUGAUACGUUGUCUUAAAUUAAAAGGAGCCUUUAAAGCUUCGCUUGAAGAUGAGCCUGCGUCGUAUUAGCUAGUUGGUAGGGUAAUGGCCUACCAAGGCAACGAUGCGUAGCCGACCUGAGAGGGUGAUCGGCCACACUGGGACUGAGACACGGCCCAGACUCC
rnacentral:rRNA from 1 species